rnacentral:rRNA from 1 species
UUUGAUGGUAGUGUAUUGGACUACCAUGGCAGUCACGGGUAACGGAGAAUUAGGGUUCGAUUCCGGAGAGGGAGCCUGAGAAACGGCUACCACAUCUACGGAAGGCAGCAGGCGCGUAAAUUACCCAAUCCCGAUUCGGGGAGGUAGUGACAAGAAAUAACAACUCGGGCGGCGCAAGCUGUUGCGAGAUUGCAAUGGGUACAAUUUAAAACACUUAACGAGUAACAAUUGGAGGGCAAGUCUGGUGCCAGCAGCCGCGGUAAUUCCAGCUCCAAUAGCGUAUAUUAAAGUUGUUGCAGUUAAAAAGCUCGUAGUCGAAGUUCUGGCUGGCCCUGUUUCCGGCUUCGGUCGACUCAGGGCCUAGUCAUCCGUCGGAGAACCUUUGUCGUCCUUCACUGGUCGCUUAGGGGAACUGACCCUUUACUUUGAAAAAAUUAGAGUGUUUCAGGCAGGCUCUCGCCCGAAUACUCCAGCAUGGAAUAAUGGAAUAGGACUUUCGUCUAUUUUGUUGGUUAUUAGUAGAAAGUAAUGAUUAAUAGGGACAGUUGGGGGCAUUCGUACUUAAUUGUCAGAGGUGAAAUUCUUGGAUUUAUUAAAGACGAACUAAUGCGAAAGCAUUUGCCAAGGAUGUUUUCAUUGAUCAAGAACGAAAGUUAGGGGAUCAAAGACGAUCAGAUACCGU